GACGAACGCUGGCGGCGUGCUUAACACAUGCAAGUCGAGCGGUAAGGCCCCUUCGGGGGUACACGAGCGGCGAACGGGUGAGUAACACGUGAGCAAUCUGCCCAUCACAUCGGGAUAACUCCGGGAAACCGAAGCUAAUACCGAAUACGACCACCUCCGGCAUCGGCUGGUGGUGGAAAGUUCCGGCGGUGAUGGAUGAGCUCGCGGCCUAUCAGCUUGUUGGUGGGGUAACGGCCCACCAAGGCUUCGACGGGUAGCCGGCCUGAGAGGUGACCGGCCACACUGGGACUGAGACACGGCCCAGACUCCUACGGGAGGCAACAGUGGGGAAUAUUGGACAAUGGGCGAAAGCCUGAUCCAGCAACGCCGCGUGAGGGAUGACGGCCUUCGGGUUGUAAACCUCUUUCAGCAGGGACGAAGCGCAAGUGACGGUACCUGCAGAAGAAGCACCGGCCAACUACGU
rnacentral:rRNA from 1 species